CAGUGGAUGUCUGGGCUGUUUUUACUUGGAACGGUGUGUGUGUUGGGAAGAUGCGGGGAGGACGAAGCCAGUGAACGAAAAGUCUGGAGUCUUCUAUAAAGGGUCUUUAUUGCCACAAUUGGGAAAGGAGGGCAGAGAGGGGAGCAGUGAUGGACUAGAAAGACAGCCCAUUCUGAAUCACAUGCCCCAGAACUUUGCGGACUGUAUCUUUGUUAUGGGCUGGGUUGUAUCCCCCUGAAUUCAUAUGUUGGAGUCCGAACCCCCAGGACCUCAAGUUGCAAGUAUAUUGCAAGGCAGGGUCCUUACAGAGGUGAUUAUGUGAAAAUGAGGUCGUACAGGUGGCCCUAAUCCAUUAUGACCAGUGUCCUGAAAAGGAGACCUGGGAGUUCCUGUCGUGGUGCAGAGGAAACGAAUCUGACUAGGAACCAUGAGGUUGCGGGUUUGAUCCCUGGCCUCGCUCGGUGGUUAAGGAUCCAGCAUUGCUGUGAGUUGUGGUGUAGGUCACAGAUGUGGCAGGGAUCUGGCGUUGCUGUGGCUGUGGUGUAGGCCGGCGGCUACAGUUCCAAUUGGACCCCUAGCCUGGGAACCUCCACAUGCCGCGGGUGUGGCCCUAAAGAAAAAGGACAAAAGACAAAAUAAAAUAAAAUAAAAUAAAAUAAAAUAAAAUAAAAUAAAAUAAAAAGGAGACCUUAGGACACAGAGACAUGUACAGAAGGAGGAUCAUGCAAAGAUACAGAGAGAAGACAGCCAACUACAAGGCAAAGAGAGAGGUCUUGGAAGGAAUCCGACCUUCAUCUUGGACCCCCAGCCUCCAGACCUAUGAGCAAAUUCGUUCCUGUUGUGUAAGCCCCUCAGUCUGUGGUCCUUUGUUAUGGCAACCCUUGGAGGGUAACACAGCCUUGGAGGAAAGAAAAGUUUCUUAAGUUCCAGUAUUGUACUGAUCUGUGCUUUGGCGCAUUGGGCUCACCAGCAUCUGGGCUACAGAUGAUGUAGAUAAAAACCUUGCAGGCAGCAUUUCAGAAAUUUGGUCGGAUGAGAGUUCAAAGCAAAUUAAUGCAAAAGGUGUCACUCAGGUUGCCUAUGAGGGACCCGGGAAGGAGUCGGUGCAUGAAGCAGAAUCAGGAUAAUGAAGGAGUCCAAACAGGACUAGGACAGGGUCUGCCGUCCACAGUGGGGGUCCCCCGCCUCUGUGCUCUGACUUGCACAUCCCCUCCACUGCUCUGAAUCCCAUAGGCACCUGUAAAUGGCUCACUGAGGCUGAAGUGGGGCUUUCCCCUGGGGGGCCCAGCACCAAGUCUGCUGAGCUACUCUGUUGGCCCUGCUGCCUCCUGGGUCCGGUUUCAGCAAUUAUGCUAUUUUGUUUAUGCAGCAGUGUUUAUAUCAUGAUUUGUGUAUUGUUAUUUUCUCUUUAUUAUCUUAUAGAAAUGAAUGGAAAAUGAGAGUUUGGUUGCCGGUGACAAGAUACAUAAGAUUCAUAAAUUUAACACACCGUUGGCAAAGAUGGAACACAGAAGCUGCACUGAAAUUCUAAAAUCUUCAGCUUCACUGAGUUCUCAUUGACUUCCAGAGGUUGAGUCUGAGCUAAACUGGGAAAAGGACGACAUUGAAGAACUAUGCAUAGAAUGGAUGUGUUUCUGAGGACUGUGUCUCAGGGAAGGUGUAAGUAGAUAUUUUAUAAAUGUUUUAGCCCCCGAGAAUGGAACCCUCUAAGGAGACUUAGAACAUGUAAGUCUAUUCAGUAACUCUCAUUCAAGUUUCAUACCCAUUUCUGAGAAUACGUUAUAUGCCCAAGUAGCAGGUGUGGAUGGUGGAUGGGGGAACAGGGGCGCCCACUGUACUAGUUACCACAAACUUAGUGGCUUAAAACAACACUGUCUGUUAGCUUGCCAAGCUCCAGGUUGAAGUCCAGCAGCCUUGGUUGGGCUCUGUACUCAGAAUAUGGCAAAGCUGAAAUCAAGGAGACAGCUGGGCUGGGCUCCUAUCCACGCUCUCUGGGAAAGACACUAUUUCCAGGGGAAUUCAGGCUGGUGGCAGAAUCCAGGCUCCCGGCACUCUCCUGGCCACCCGCUGGGGCUGCUGUCUGUUCCAAAGACCAUCCACCUUCCUUUCCUUGUGGCCUCCUCCAUCUGCAAGGCAGCAAUGGAGCCUGCAACCUGACUUCCUCUUGAGUCCCCAGCCGGAGAAACUUCUUUGCUCUAAAGGAAUCAUGUGCUUAGAAUAGUUUCCCUGGAUAAUUUCCCUGUUAUAGUCAAUUGUGCCAUAAAAUAUAACAUAAUGAAUGACAUCACCCUCACAGGUUCAAGGGAUUUGGGGCAUGGAAUAUUGGCGUCCAUUUCUAGGAAUUCCGACUACCUCUAGAUGCCUGCAUGCCAGAGCUGGACCUGGGACCUUAAAUAUCUCUUUGGCCAAGAAAUCCUUGGCUGGCAGAGACUGCUAGUUGAGCAAACUCAUUCUCCCUUCCUCUGUAGUUAAUGGAAUUGUUCGACUGGGCACAUGGCUGCCUGGAAGAAAGACUACAUUUCCCAGCAUUCCUUGAAGCUAGUUGUGGACAUGUGACUCUGUCACGUGACUUGGUCUGGUCAAUGGGAAGUAGGUGAAGAAGUAGUGGGGCUAUUCUUAGUUCUUCUCCCCACUUCCUUCAUCCCCCUGCCCACAUCGUGCACCUGAUAUCUGGACCUCCAUCUUUGGCCACAAGGAUGAGGCUGUGAUGGGAGAGCAACAGAGAGAAGCCUACAUCCCUGUCUUCAUGAAAGGUCAGAUCAGCCUGAAUUACUUAGCUGGACUUCUAUGAAAGAGACAGAAAUUUCUGUCUUUGCCAUUGUUUGGGGUUUGCUACGGCACACAGUAAACCUAAUCUUAACUAACACCUUGGCCUGGGGUUUCCGUAUUCAGGGUUUGUGAGCUAGGCUGUUCUGUGGUCUGUGAUACCCGUCGUCAGCUGGGGCCACUGUCCUGGGCCUCCUCUGGGCUGGGGUCCUUAGCUCUGCUGCCUUUGUCCUUCCAUUGUCUGAGCCCUUAGCCAAACCUAGAUGAUUUGCUUAGGCAGUGACUGAGAAUGGUUGAUGAAUAUUCUCAUGUAGUGAGAAAAUAUACUUAUAGGGGAGUUCCCAUCGUGACGCAGUGGACCCGAAUCUGACUAGGAACCAUGAGGUUGCAGGUUCAAUCCCUGGCCUCGUUCGGUGAGUUAAGGAUCCGCGUUGCCGUGAGCUGUGGUGUAGGCUGUGGUGUAGCUCGGAUUAGACCCCUAGCCUGGGAACCUCCAUAUGCUG
rnacentral:lncRNA from 1 species